UUAAUACUGGACCAAUGUCAAAGAUUGUUGUUCACAUCAGUCACUUAGACACAAAAAACAUAGGAAAAUAGGGUCCAGGUUGAAAAAAACUGUAGUUAUCCUUUAAAGUAUGUACAACUAACUGAAUAUUCAAAUGCCCUCAUGCACUGCAUUGUACACAGUACUUCCUAUGCACGUGUACUGAAUUAUCUCCUAUAUGCUAUGUAAAAACAAAAGUAAAAUGUCUAAAAUCAUCAUCCAACAUGAAUACACCUGAACAGAAUGUGUGUUUCUAUGUGGUAUCUGUGUGUUUUGUCUGAAGGUGAAGGUGGUGGUGUCCCAGCCAGCGUUUGUGUCGGAUGCCAGUACGUGUGGUCAGGUCGUCCUUGUGUCUUUCCAGUACUAUAAGAGCGCAACUCACUUGUUCCAUGAUGGGAAGAGAGAAAGGGGAAACAAUGCUCUAUAUGCUCCCCAUCCUUUGUUUUUCCUUUUACUAUACAACACUCCACUCGCUAUUAUUUCACUCAUGCAUACAUGCUGGCACUACUGACUGCUAACCUUCUAAUGUCUUGACAUUUUGUUGUUUUAAAUAAAAGAAUGGUUUCUUUAAAGUAA